UGGGGAAUUUUGGACAAUGGGGGCAACCCUGAUCCAGCCAUGCCGCGUGAGUGAAGAAGGCCUUCGGGUUGUAAAGCUCUUUCGGUGGGAACGAAAUGGCUCGCGCUAAUACCGCGGGUCGAUGACGGUACUCACAGAAGAAGCACCGGCUAACUACGUGCCAGCAGCCGCGGUAAUACGUAGGGUGCGAGCGUUAAUCGGAAUUACUGGGCGUAAAGCGUGCGCAGGCGGUGCAUCAAGCUCGAUGUGAAAGCCCCGGGCUUAACCUGGGAAUUGCAUUGAGGACUGGUGCGCUCGAGUGCGGCAGAGGGGGGUGGAAUUCCACGUGUAGCAGUGAAAUGCGUAGAGAUGUGGAGGAACACCGAUGGCGAAGGCAGCCCCCUGGGCCGACACUGACGCU
rnacentral:rRNA from 1 species